rnacentral:tRNA from 1 species
GGCUGGUUAGCUCAAUCAGUAGAGUGUAGAGCUAACAACGCUAAGGUUGCGGGUUCGACUCCUGUUUGGUCCC